ACGAGGAAUUAUACAAAGGUUCGGAAUGAGAGCAGGGGUUUUAAGGCUGGGCAGAGGCUCUAAGCUCCGCCCCUUCGUUCCAGACCCUACCCACAGGUUCCCAGGUCCCUUGUUGAGAUCCCAGUGGGGCGGGAUCUCAGGAAUAGGAGGGUUACUGUCAUGUGACUCUCUCCGGCCUCAGCCGCCUCGGAAGCUGCUAGGCAGAAGUAGACGUUCAGAAGAGGGCUAGGCAGGGCGAACCCACAUCUGGGAGAGGCAAGGAGAGCGGAAGUGGCGUUGGUCUGGCCGGAGUUCUUUGGUGAAAUUGUUAGGUGUGGAAAGGGAGUGAUGUCUUCCAGACUCGGUGCUGUACCUAGCCUGGGACAGGGCUUUGAGAAUGGGGAAGACGAAGGCUCUGGUAUUGUUACCAGCCUUUGCACAGCUGGAAGAUAGGACAGCACAUUUUUCCUAAAAAGUGUUGCCUUCUUCAGUUUGAGGUUAUUGCCCCGGGAGAGCUUCAUUUCUUCUGGGCAUAGGGGAAUUCUUCUUUUUGUGGUCGAGGUUCAGAGAUCCCUAGAACUCACUCGUGUGCUUGUGAUUUGCUAGACUUCAGGACCCACAACCUUUAAACAGCAGAGGAGCACGAGGAUCGUGGGAGCUAAGAAGUAAGUGAGGUUUUCUCAGGUCCUUUUAUGAUUGUGUCACCAGCACUGUCCAGUAGAACUUCUUCCUGUGAUGAAAAUGUUCAGUAUCUGCAUUGUCCAGUAUCACAGCCACUAGCCCUGUGUGGAUUUUGAGCCGUUGAAAUGUGGCUGGUGCAACUGAGGGACUGAAUUUUAAAUUUUAUUUGCUAAGUAAGAGGUUUUUCUAAGGUUCUUUUGUGAUUGUGUGUCCAGCGCUACCCAUUAGAACUUGUGACAAAAAUGUUCUGUAUCUGCACUGUCUAGUAUCAUAGCCACUAGACCCUUAUGGCGUUUGAGCGCUAGAAAUGUGGCUAGUGUAACUGAGAAAUUGAAUUUUAAAUUUUAUGUUAUUUUAACUAAAUAGCCACCUGUAGCUAGUGACUACUGGAUUGGACAGUGUACGUAUAAGCCUACUGUGUGGUAGAGAAACCUAGCUUGCAAAAAAAGAGUACAAGUUAUAACAAAAAUGGAACCAAUGACUUACUGGUAAUCCUGUACUUCUCCAGACAUCACAUUCGUGCUCAUAAAUACAUUGAUUAACUUGGGAUGGAUGAUCAAAAUGGCUGGAAGAAAUCCUUGUAUUUUUAAACUACUUGGUUGUAAGACUGGUUUAUUAUUUAGAACACUGAAGGUACUUAGUUUUUCCAUGGUUAACACAAAAGAAAACAUUCUUGUUAACUAGACAUUAAAUGGAUUCAUUCAGGUGACAUUUAUGAAAUGUCUGCUGUGUGUGCCAGUUCUGUAGUAGGUUAGG